GACGAACGCUGGCGGCGUGCCUAAUACAUGCAAGUCGAGCGAAGUUUUUCUGGUGCUUGCACUAGAAAAACUUAGCGGCGAACGGGUGAGUAACACGUAAAGAACCUGCCUUAUAGACUGGGACAACUAUUGGAAACGAUAGCUAAUACCGGAUAACAGCAUUAACUGCAUGGUUGAUGUUUAAAAGUUGGUUUCGCUAACACUAUGAGAUGGCUUUGCGGUGCAUUAGCUAGUUGGUGGGGUAAAGGCCUACCAAGGCGACGAUGCAUAGCCGACCUGAGAGGGUGAUCGGCCACACUGGGACUGAGACACGGCCCAGACUCCUACGGGAGGCAGCAGUAGGGAAUCUUCCGCAAUGGGCGAAAGCCUGACGGAGCAACGCCGCGUGAGUGAAGAAGGAUUUCGGUUCGUAAAGCUCUGUUGUUAGGGAAGAAUGAUUGUGUAGUAACUAUACACAGUAGAGACGGUACCUAGCCAGAAAGCCACGGCUAACUACGUGCCAGCAGCCGCGGUAAUACGUAGGUGGCAAGCGUUGUCCGGAAUUAUUGGGCGUAAAGCGCGCGCAGGUGGUUUAAUAAGUCUGAUGUGAAAGCCCACGGCUCAACCGUGGAGGGUCAUUGGAAACUGUUAAACUUGAGUGCAGGAGAGAAAAGUGGAAUUCCUAGUGUAGCGGUGAAAUGCGUAGAGAUUAGGAGGAACACCAGUGGCGAAGGCGGCUUUUUGGCCUGUAACUGACACUGAGGCGCGAAAGCGUGGGGAGCAAACAGG
rnacentral:rRNA from 1 species